AUAUCAGUCAUGCAUAGCAUAUCAAUAAGCGGAGGAAAAGAAACUAACAAGGAUUCCCUUAGUAACGGCGAGUGAAGCGGGAAGAGCUCAAAUUUGAAAUCUUCAAGGUUUUACCUUGACGAAUUGUAGUUUAAGGAAGUGUUUUCUGUUGAAGUUUUGGUAAAAGUUCUUUGGAAUAGGACAUCAUAGAGGGUGAGAAUCCCGUAUUUGACCAUUACUUUCAGCUUUGUGAUACACUUUCAAAGAGUCGGAUUGUUUGGGAAUGCAGUCCAAAAUGGGUGGUAAAUUUCAUCUAAAGCUAAAUAUUGGCGAGAGACCGAUAGCGAACAAGUACCGUGAGGGAAAGAUGAAAAGAACUUUGAAAAGAGAGUUAAACAGUACGUGAAAUUGUCAAAAGGGAAGCGUUUGACACCAGUGUUGUUUUCUCGAAAAUCAAUUAAAAAGAGUUGGAUUUUGUGUUGUAUUGACUUUAUCAGCUUUCUUCACUCUUUUCCAGCUUUUUUUAAUGCACUUUUCGUUUAACAAGUCAACAUCAGUUUCUUUUGUUGUAAAAAGGUCAUUGGAAGGUGGCUUUCUCUUCGGAGAAAGUGUUUAUAGCCUUUGACUCAUGCAAUCGGAGAGACUGAGGUCUGCAGCGUAGAUCCUUCGGGGUUAGAUACAUUUGUGCUAAGUUAUAGCUUUUCAUAGACAACUUGUUGACUAUGUUUAGUCUUGUAGCUUACUCGCUUAUGCUAUUUUACCUACGCUUAGGAUGUUGAACUCUAUCACACACAG
rnacentral:rRNA from 1 species